GUAAAGUCGAAGAAGGGGAGUUCCGGGAUUUUUUUGGUCGCAGAGAGGAAGGCCCAUGGCUGUAAGGCCUUCUGUCCAAAGCCCCAGGAUGUAGCCCCGGAGACGCCAGGCUGAACCAAACCAGUAGGCCUUGGCCGGGAUGGCCCGUUACAGCCCGUUGAGCUGCCACCCCCAUAUGGUUUGGCCGGUGGGUGGAAACAAGGUGGUACCGCGGAAAACAGCUUCCGUCCUUGAA
rnacentral:ncRNA from 1 species